CCUUUAGACAAGAGAAGGUGGUGUCGAUAAGACGUGAGGUUAUUAUUCAUCAUACGUUCAGCUAUGCUUUAUAUACCACAUAUAUGUAUAUUAGGAUACGUUUGAUAUAAUACGAUCAUAAUUUUUCCUUUGCGUUAUAUCUUGCAGCUUUAGUAAUUGGUUUAGUGUUGUUGACAGACAUAUGUACAGUGAGACAAAACGAUGACCACAACGAUGGGGAAUCAUUCAGACUUGAUAGUUUAUAUCUGCGUCCUUUUGUGCAAUACACUACAGAAUACAUCAUAGUAUAUUCAAGUUGCCAACACACUGAUGUGAAGAACCCUUUCCAGAGAAAUAUAGAAGGAAAUGACUGUUGAGUUUCAGAAACACAUCCAGACACAUGGACUGUCAAAGACCACACAGGAACAUUCUCCUGGAGACGCUGAGAAAGCACAGAAGGAAUCUCUGUGGAAGAUGUACUCAAACACACCCAGACUUCAGGACACCUGCUGGAGGGGAACCUGCUACAGCCUUUCCUACCAUACACGUGAAGGAUAGUGACUGUACAAUGGCAAUCAUAGUUCGAGGGUUCAGUGUAAUGACAGAAGAUGUAUUCUGCAUUCAACAUUACAUAUCCAACACAUCUGAGAAAGACACUGACUUCAGAGGCACAUUGUCAUCAUUAGAAGAGGGAGACGAUCACUGUCAGUAACUUUACUCUGAAUGAUUUGCCUUUUGUAUUAGAUCCUCAUGGCUUGACUUUACCAAGUGCACUUGAAGGACAUUCACUCUUCUGAAGUUAAUCCAACAUGUUGGGUAUCGUUGACUGAAAGUCUGUCAGUCCAGAUGUGAGGAGGACAUACAGAGUGGAAUCUAUUUUUUUUUUUAAUUGGCGACUGAAACUGAAAGCUAA